rnacentral:rRNA from 1 species
CCCCGCACGUCCUCGCUCGUCGUCUCCGCCUCGGCUUCCCCGCCGCGGUCGCUCGACGCCCUGAUCUUCGACUGCGACGGCGUCAUACUGGAGUCGGAGCACCUCCACCGGCAGGCCUACAACGACGCCUUCGCGCACUUCGGGGUCCGCUGCCCGCCCGCGGCCGACGCCGACGCGCCGCUGUUCUGGGACGAGGCCUUCUAUGACGACCUCCAGAACCGCAUCGGCGGCGGGAAGCCCAAGAUGCGAUGGUACUUUGGAGAAAAUGGGUGGCCUUCUUCAAAGAUAUUGGAGACAGCACCUUCAAGCGACGAAGACAAGGAGAAGUUAGUUGACGUUAUUCAGGACUGGAAAACAGAGAGGUACAAAGCAAUAAUCAAAUCUGGAACUGUGGAGCCUAGACCUGGUGUUUUGCGGCUGAUGGACGAAGUUAAGGGUGCGGGCAUCAAGCUUGCAGUUUGCUCUGCGGCAACUAAAAGUUCAGUGGUGUUGUGUCUUGAAAAUCUUCUUGGACUUGAAAGAUUCAAUGGUCUGGACUGCUUCCUCGCUGGCGAUGAUGUUAAAAUGAAAAAACCCGAUCCAUCGAUAUAUAUUACAGCAGCAAAGAAAUUAGGAUUGGAAAGCAAGAACUGCCUUGUGGUAGAAGACAGUGUCAUUGGACUACAGGCAGCAAAAGGAGCAGGGAUGUCAUGUAUAAUAACAUACACACCUUCAACUUCUAACCAAGAUUUCAAGGAUGCAAUUGCAACCUAUCCUGAUCUCAGUAAUGUGAGGCUUGAGGACCUGAAGCUACUGCUCCAAGAAUCUCUCGUCACUGGAUAG